UAUCUCUGUAGAGUCUGCAUAUCAAUAAGCGGAGGAAAAGAAACUAACAAGGAUUCCCUUAGUAACGGCGAGUGAAGCGGGAAGAGCUCAAAUUUGAAAUCUUCAAGGUUCUACCUUGACGAAUUGUAGUUUAUAGAAGUGUUUUCUGUUAGUGGAGUGGCAAAAGUUCUUUGGAAUAGGACAUCAUAGAGGGUGAGAAUCCCGUAUUUGGUCAUUCCUCCUAGCGUUGUGAUACACUUUCAACGAGUCGGAUUGUUUGGGAAUGCAGUCCAAAAUGGGUGGUAAAUUUCAUCUAAAGCUAAAUAUUGGCGAGAGACCGAUAGCGAACAAGUACCGUGAGGGAAAGAUGAAAAGAACUUUGAAAAGAGAGUUAAACAGUACGUGAAAUUGUCAAAAGGGAAGCGUUUGACACCAGUGUUGUUUUCUCGAAAAUCAAUUAAAAAUGGCCGGAUUUUGUGUUGUAUUGACUUUAUCAGCUUUCUGCACUUUUUUCUUGUCUUUUUUAAUGCACUUUUCGUUUAACAAGUCAACAUCAAUUUCUUUUGUUGUAAAAGAGUCAUUGGAAGGUGGCUUUCACUUCGGUGAAAGUGUUUAUAGCCUUUGACUUCUGCAAUCGGAGAGAUUGAGGUCUGCAGCGUAGAUCCUUCGGGGUUAGAUACAUUUGUGCUAAGUUAUAGCUUUUCAUAGACAACUUGUUGACUAUGUUUAGUCUUGUAGCUUACUCGCUGACGCUAUUUUACCUACGCUUAGGAUGUUGAGUAGCGACAUACGCAC
rnacentral:rRNA from 1 species